UACGAGUGCCCCAAGCGUUAUCCGGAAUUAUUGGGCGUAAAGGGUGUGUAGGUGGUGUGGUUAGUCUUCUGUCAAAUCCUUCGGCUUAACCGGGGUCCUGCAGAAGAAACGGCCAUACUCGAGGAUGCAAGGGGUGAAUGGAACUCAUGGAGUAGGGGUGAAAUCCGUUGAUAUCAUGGGGAACACCAAAAGCGAAGGCAAUUCACUGGGGCAUUCCUGACACUGAAACACGAAAGCGUGGGUAGCGAACUGG
rnacentral:rRNA from 1 species